CUGAAGCCCUGAUGUGUGGUGAGAAGGGUGCUUUCCCUCUGUGGUCCUCAUCCCCAAAACAAACUACCCCAGUCAAAUUAUGAGAAAAUCGGACCAAUCCCAACUGAGGGCCAUUUUAUAGAGUACUGGACCCACAGAAAGUCUGAGAAACUGUCACAGCCAACAGGAGCUGAAGAAUGCAUGAUAACAAAAUGUGACGCGGUGCCCUGGAUUGGAUUCUGGAGCAAGAAGAGGGCAGCAGGUAAAAACUAAGGCAGCUGGAAUAAGGUAUGGACUUUAGCUAACAAGUGUAUCGAUGUGGGUUCAUACAUUGUGACCAAUGUACCAGGUUAAUUUAGGAAGUUAAACAAUGGGGACACUGGGUAUAUGAGAAUGCUCUGUACUAUCUUUGCAAUCUUUCUGUAAAUCUAAGGCCAUUCUAAAAUGAGGCUUAUUUUGAAAAAGAUGGAACUGACAUUAUAGCUGAAUGGACAAGCACCUUAUCUGAUCUGGCAGGGUCUGCAGCCAAGGGCACACACAACCCCAAGGGGCAGGCUGGCAGGAAAGGCGAAUUCUAGGGCCGGGGGCCAGAGGGAGGUGAGGAGAGGCUUUACACAGACAGAAAGCAUUGUAAGAGGAAGCCGAAAGUGAAGAGAGCUUCUCCAGGCAGAUGAGAAGUCAGGUGGCAUGAAGAGAGUACAGGCGGCCUAAGCACAUGCAGCGAGGCUGAAGGACAGAGAGCUGGGGUCAUGUGGAAGGGAGUGGACAGACCAGCAUGGUGGAGACCGGAAGGGGCCAGACCGUGAGGGCCAGGAACACUGGGGCUGCUGACAGGGUUUCACGCAGCAUCGCCUCAUGGGCGGGUGUGGGUGCCUGGGAUCACAUCCGGGCCUGCUGCCCACAUCCUCUGCAGCUUUGCGGGCGCCAUCACCGCACAGUGCCUAAGGUCUGUCAUUUGUAAAAUGGGGAUAACAGCACCACUGACUACCUCACAGGGCUGCUGUGAGGAUUGUUAGUUAAUACAAGCAAAGCAUUUAGAACUAGGGGUACGUAACAAGCAUUCCGUGAUCUUGGGUAUUGUUAUAAAGACAGAAGAAUGACUGACAAUCCAAUGUACAUUUUAUAAAAUAGCUUUGGGGCUGGGCGUGGUGGCUCAUGCCUGUAAUCCCAGCGCUUUGGGAGGCCAACGUGGGUGAAUCACCUGAGAUCAGGAGUUCGAGACCAGCCUGGCCAACAUGGUGAAACCCCACCUCUACUAAAAAUACAAAAAUUAGCUGGUGUGGUGGUGGGCACCUGUAAUCCCAGCUACUUGGGAGGCUGAAGUGGGAGAAUCUCUUGAACCUGGGAGGCGGAGGUUGCAGUGAGCUGAGCUGGUGCCACUGCACUCCAACUUGAGUGAUGGAGCAAGACUCUGUCUCAAAACAAAAAAAAAAAAGAGCUCUGGAGGCUGUACACAGGUGGGUACGUGGGGGGUGGAAUGGCAAGAGUGGGAUGCCCUCCAUGAUCUUGCAGGUCUGCACUGUUUUUCUGUAAGGCUUUUUACUGAAUCCCCAGUAAGACCUUGAGUGGCUCUUAUGUGCCCCAUUCUUACCCAUGUGGAGGAAGAGUAAAAUGUUGAGGAUAUGGUGAGAGUGUACCCUGUCACACACACUGUCAAUGGUAAAAACUGGGGCUAUCCCUUCGGAAAGUAACCUGCAAUGUAUUUCCAGAGCCAGGAGUUCUUUUUAUACUCUGUGAUAUAGUAAUUCCCAUGGUUAGAAAUGUAUCUUUAUUAUUAUUUUUUUUCCUUUUUGAGACAGGGUCUCUCACUGUCACCCAGGCUAGAGUGCAGUGGCAUGAUCACAGCUCACUGCAGCCUCAACUUCCCCAAGGUCAGGUGAUCCUCCUGCCUCAGCCUCCCUUGUAGCUGGGACUACAGGCGUGUGCCACCACACAUGGCUAAUUUUUUUACUUUGUGUAGAGAUAGGGUUUUACCAUGUUGCUCAGGCUGGUUUCCCAACUCCUGGGCUCAAGCAAUUCACCUGCCUUGGCCUCCCAAAGUGCUGAGAUUACAGGUGUAAGCCACCAUGCCUUGUUUAGAAAUUUAUCUUAAUCUAUCACCCCAGAAAGGGGGAAGGGAGAAAGACACAGGAUAUUCACAGAAGACAAGUACUGGAAUCAAUCUACUGUUUCAUAAAAGGAGAAAGAUUAUGUGUAUUAUGGCAUGUCAGCUGCUGGAUAUUACCAGUCACUGAAAAAAUUAUGAAGGAAUUGCUUCAUUAAGCAGUAUGUGUAUAAUGUUAAAUAAAAUAAGCAAAAUGGAAAACUUCCUAUAAUUCUAGCUACACACAAAUGAUGUGCACAUGGAGACUAAAAGAAAAUGAAUACAGAAAAAGGUGACCAAUUCGGGUGAUGACACUUGAGCUUUCUCCAUAAUUUCCUUCCCCCACUCUUUUUUUUCUUUCUUUGAGACAGAGUCUCACUCAGCUGCCCAGGGUGGAGUGCAGUGGCGCAAUCUCGGCUCACUGCAACCACCGUCUCCUGGGUUCAAGUGAUUCUCCCGUCUCAGCCUCCCGAGUAGCUGGGAUUACAGACACAAGUCCCACACUGCCGGGAGUCUUCCCUGAGCUACUGGAUCAGCACAGAAAACAAGCGGUGAGAUGUCCUCUCCAACAAAAGAACACUCAGCCAGCUGCCCCCCCUGCUUUUUAGGAGAAGAGCCAAAAUAGCUUGAGUGAUCUGUGCCUCUGAGUCUACCCAGGACCCACGGCGCACCAAAGCCACCUUGGGGCUCAACUCGGUACGGUGCCAGAAGCCAUGGGAGCCACCUCACACUCUCAGGGUAAAGGCCAAGGAACGUGCAGGGGAGCCAGCCCACACUGCUGAGCCACAUCCCGCUGCCACCUACUACCAGAUUUCUCAUCCUGUAAAAAAAACCAACUCCUUGUGGUUUAGGCACUUUGUUGCUGCAUUUUGUUGCUUGUAGCCAAAAGCAUUCUUACCUGACCUGGCAAGUGACUCAAUCAGAGCCAGAGAGACACAAAAAGAUUUUUGCUAGGAAAGCUGAGACAUCCUCUCAAUUUUCCCUCCUGGACAAGAUUGAGGAGGGAUGUAGCCCUGAGAGCUGCUACAGGCACCUCAAAACCAUAAGGAGUGUGAGCUGCCUGAGGACAGGACACCAGGACAGAGGGGGAGAUGUCAAUAACCAGUAAUGUCACUGAUCUCCCUGACCCGCCAUGCCAGAAGGGAGGUCUGUCCUCGACCUAACUUGAGCCAGUAUCUUUUUGCUUAAGCCAGUUUGGUUUUCUGAUACUUGCAAUUCAGUGGGUCCUAGCUAAUAUGAAUAAGCUGUUAUUUCUUCAGUGGCCAGCCAACCAGCCCAAACUGUCCGUCCCUGUGUUUCCUGACAAUUCAGCCACUGUGACCAACAACAAGAAAGAAGCUACAGCCAAGAAAAGUGGGCACCACUCACCUUCUUGUUUCUUCUGUUCAAGUUUCAUCUUCUUUGCCAGUAAUUUCUUCUCUUUUAACUUCUGGCUAAAAAUGUAAAACCAUAUACAUUGAUUCCUUAACUAACUUAUGGUAUAUUUUAGAAAAUAAACACCUCCUUAUGGUAUCUUUAAAACCUGUGGAAUAACACAAACAUUACAAUAACAAAAUAAGAAAAAUAUUAGGUGAGUGCAAAAGUAAUUGCCGUUUUUGCGUUGCUGGAAUUUGCUGUUUGAUAUUAGAAUAUAUUCUUUUUUUUUUUUUUUUUUUUUUUUUGAGAUGGAGUCUCACUCUGUUGCCCAGGCUAGAGUGCAGUGGCGCGAUCUCAGCUCACUGAAAGCUCCGCCUCCUGGGUUCACACCAUUCUCCUGCCUCGGCCUCCCGAGUAGCUGGGACUAUAGGCGCCCGCCACCACGCCCAGCUAAUUUUUUGUAUUUUCAAUAGAGACGGGGUUUCUCUGUGUUAACCAGGAUGGUCUCGAUCUCCUGACCUUGUGAUCUGCCCGCCUUGGCCUCCCAAAGUGCUGGGAUUACAGGCGUGAGCCACCGCACCUGGCCAAUACAUUCUUAAAUAGAUGUGAUUAUGUUAUACAUCAUUUCAAUGGGCUUUUUUUUUUUUUUUUUGCUAAUGACUUAUUACUUAUUUUAUGUUUAGACCAUGAAAACAAUGCUAGACAAAAAGCAAAUUCAAGUGAUUUUCUUAUUCAAAUUCAAAAUGGGUCGUAAAGCAGUGGAGACAACUCACAAUAUCAACAAUGCAUUUAGCCCAGGAACUGCCAACGAACGUACAGUGCAGUGGUGGGGCAAGAAGUUUUGCAAAGGAGACGAGAGCCUUGAAGAUGAGCAUCGUGGCUAGCCAUCGGUCAUUGGACAUUGACCAAUUGAGAGCAAUCACGGAAGCUGAUCCUCUUACAACUACAUGAGAAGGGGCCGAAGAACUCAGCAUCGACCAUGCUACAGUCAUUCAGCAUUUGAAGCAAACUGGAAAGGUGAGAAAGCUCGGUAAGUGGGUGCCUCAUGAGCUGAGCGAAAAUCAAAAAAAUCAUUAUUUUGAAGUGCCGUCUUCUCUUACUCUACGCAACAACAAUGAACCAUUUCUCGAUCAGAUUGUGACGUGUGAUGAAAAGUGGAUUUUACAUGACACCUGCGACAACCAGCUCAGUGGUUGGACCAAGAAGCCGCUCCAAAACACUUCCCAAAGCCAAACUCGCACAAAAAAGGUCAUGGUCACUGUUUGCUGGUCAGCUGCUGGUCUGAUCCACUACAGCUUUCUGAAUCCCGGUGAAACCAGUACACUGGAGAAGUAUGUGCAGCAAAUCGAUGAGAUGCACUGAAAACUCCAAUGCCCGCAGCCAGCACUGAUCAACAGAAGGGGCCCAAUUCUUCUCCAGGACAACGCCCAACCACAUGUCACACAACCAACGCUUCAAAGGUUGAACAAAUUGGGCUGCGAUGUAUUGCCUCAUCCACCAUAUUCACCUGACUUCUUGCCAACCAACUACCACUUCUUCAAGCACUUUGACAACUUUUUGCAGGGAAAGCACUUCCACAACCAGCAGGAUGCAGAAAAUGCUUUCUAAGAGUUCUUCAAAUCCCGGAGCAUGGAUUUUUACGUUAUAGAAAUAAACUUAUUUCUUUUUGGUCAAAAUGUGUUGAUUGUAAUGGUUCCUAUUCUGAUCAAUAAACAUGUUUUGAGCCUA